CUCCGACAGCGUGCCGUGCCACGCCAGCGCUGCACGCGCACCGGAAAACCGUCCCGCCGAAUAGCUGGCAAUGGCCGCUGGCCGCCAGAACCAUUCUUCAAGAAAAUGGUCGGUGAGAUUCUUCAGGCCCGGCUGAAGCCCCCAAUUGUAUUCGCCGAUGACGAACACAAAGCCGUCGGCCGCGAUGAUUUUCUGCGCAAGUUCUUCCAGCGCGGCGGGCGCGGGCCCCCUCCGCUGGGCCUUCUAAAACCCAGCCCGCACUCACACAANNNNNGCAUCGAUCAGUUCGACGUCGGCGCCGCGCUCGCGUAACCCCUUCACGAUGAAAUCCGCAA
rnacentral:misc_RNA from 1 species